rnacentral:rRNA from 1 species
UGCCAGCGCCGCGGUAAGACGAAGGUGGCAACCGUUGUUCGGAAUCACUGGGCAUAAAGCGCGCGUAGGCGGGAAAGCAAGUCGGGUGUGAAAUCCCUCGGCCCAACCGAGGAACUGCGCCCGAAACUGCUUUUCUUGAGGACAGAAGGGGAGCGUGGAAUUCCUGGUGGAGCGGUGAAAUGCGUUGAUAUCAGGAGGAACACCGGCGGCGAAGGCGACGCUCUGGUCUGUUUCUGACGCUAAGGUGCGAAAGCCAGGGGAGCAAACGGGAUUAGAUA